rnacentral:rRNA from 1 species
UACAGAGGUCUCAAGCGUUGUUCGGAUUCAUUGGGCGUAAAGGGUGCGUAGGCGUCGCGGUAAGUCGGGUGUGAAAUCUUGGAGCUUAACUCCGAAACUGCAUUCGAUACUGCCGUGCUUGAGGACUGGAGAGGAGACUGGAAUUUACGGUGUAGCGGUGAAAUGCGUAGAUAUCGUAAGGAAGACCAGUGGCGAAGGCGGGUCUCUGGACAGUUCCUGACACUGAGGCACGAAGGCCAGGGGAGCAAACGGG